UCCCUUUCCAUCCAUCACACAUAAUGGUCACACCUCUUUCUUCCCAGAUAGGCUUAAAGGUAUUCACCCAUUCUUUUAUUUCCUUAUACUCUUCUUCCAAAUACACUCCUGUCACCUCAUAAGCUGAAGGACUCUUAACUGAUUUUCCAACUUUAGCUGCAACUUGAAGUAUAGGCUGUAGAAAUGGUGACUCUACAAUUCUUGUAGGUAAAGCUUCAUGCAAUAUUAACUUUGACAUUGCUUUCCCCAGCUUUGCUUUUGCAUUUUUCAAGAAGCUUGUAGUGAGUUUUGGUUGCUUCAAACUUUUUGAUCUUUCAAGAACAGGAUCCAUAUUUGCUAAUUUAGCUCCAAGAGAGUUAAAAUUAGUCCACUGAUGUUCCCUCCCACUUCUUUCAGAAUUAUAAAUACUGAAUGAUAUGCUAAAUACUUGAGUUUCAGAACUAC
rnacentral:lncRNA from 1 species